GCGUUACUCCUACCUUAUAACGCUGGGAAAACCGUAAAAAAGGAGGAGACCAUUUCCGCCGGUCCGGCGGUGCGGCAGUGUGGAGACCUGUCGUAACGCGCACGGAGGUUCGCUCUUCGGGCGCGAGGGGGUCCUUGCGGAUGCAUGGCCCUUACGGACCUAGUACAUGGCA
rnacentral:ncRNA from 1 species